AAGACUCAUUAGUACACUUAAACAAAAUCUAAUAAAUCACAAUAACAUUAUAAUUUACCUAGAAAUAGAACUCAUCAUAUGAUUUGCCCGCAGGUCCAUUCACUCACACUUUUCACUCUAACAUCUAAGUGAGUCACUGUUUGUGGAAACAACCCAGCGAACAUAGUUUGGCGACAGAAUAUUGCCUCAAUCCAGAGAUACCAAACUCGGAACACCUGCUGCCUUCAAGGAGACCAAACUGUAUCUGCACUUCAAACUCCACUUCCGUUAUUGAAAGCACAUGCUCGACUUGAAACGUUCCUGGCAUCUCCCUUCUCUCCAGAAGUGCCAGCAGGACCGCGGAGCCCAGCGUCACCCUGUCUGCCUGGAGGUCCACCAUCUCCCCUCACUCCUUUGGGUCCAUCUUUGCCAGGAGGGCCGGCAGGACCAGCAGGUCCAGGAUUACCCUGAGAAGUACUCAGUUGGAUGGAUGCAGACUGAACUUACAUUGGGACCAGGGGGUCCAACACGGCCAGCAGCUCCAGGGAAACCAGUGGCACCCUGACAGAGAAAGAUUCAUUUAGAUAAAGCCAAAAAUAAUUUCACAAAAUAAUGGUUCCUGCACAUGCUACUAUGAGACAAAGAUGAAAAGCAUUUUUAAAAAGUCACUUACAGGAGGUCCCUGAGCACCACGAGCACCUUUAGGUCCAGAAACACCUGUAGGACCCUGCAAGAGAAAAGCACAUUACUGUCUGACAUUUGUUUUAUGUUUUAGAGAGGGCAAUAUAAACCUAAAUCUAAAAAACACUUUCAGUUGCCGUGAAAUAAUGCUGGAAUAUAUUCAGUUGACGGGGAGGUUGUCUGCCUCAGAUCAUUUUUUAUUCUGCCCGGUGUGGCACAAUCAGUGACAAGGACAGCUUUCAACCUGGCGUGACGUUCGCCCCUCCACAGAUGAAAAUAAAGGAUGAUUUUUCUUCUGAUUUGUGCAUUUUUCUCUUCUCAUAAAAAAGACUGUCAGUCAGUGUCUGUCUUGCUGUUGUUUAUAAACCCUCAUUAUUUAGG